rnacentral:rRNA from 1 species
CCAAUAGCGUAUAUUAAAGUUGUUGCAGUUAAAAAGCUCGUAGUUGAAUUUCGGGAUCAGUACGCUGGUCAUGCCUUUGGUAUGCACUGGUGUCACUGGUUUCUCCCUUCUGAAGAACCGUGAUGUCAUUAAUUUGGUGUCGCGGGGAAUCAGGACUGUUACUUUGAAAAAAUUAGAGUGUUUAAAGCAGGCUCACGCUU